CAGUCCUGCAAAACAGACUUUGUCAGGCACCUCCCUGCUGGCCUUGUCACUCUGCUGUCCCUGCAACAGCCAGCAGCUGAGUUCCUUUUCUUGAUCAGGCUGGACUCCGUGCAGGGUGAACUCUCCUGUGGCCACCUUGCAGCAGAGGGGCAAAAUGGAAAAUUACCACAAAUCUGGUUAAGGAAUGAUUUGUAAAAUUUGUCAGUCAAAACGAGUCAAGGGCAAAGUCCCCUCUGCUCUGCCCACAGCAACUUGCAUCUUCUCCCCUACAAAUAGGGCUGAAUAUGCAUUGCCACAUUCUCCAGAAGAAAGACAAAAGCCAGAAGUCUCUAAGCCAGCUCCAUCAUGGGAUCAUUUUGGUCUGGGCAAAUCACUUCACCUCCCUUGUCACUCUCCAAGGAAAGAAUUCACAGUUCUGUUGAUUAUUUUUCACUGAGCAUUCGCAGGGCUCUGCAGACGUGGGUAAUGUGUAACACAGAAUCACAGUCUCUGUGGUCUCCAGCCUUGGAAUGCAUUUGUUCUCAUUGUUCCAACUCCUGAUGGCUCCAUAUAUUCUCAUUUUCCCAUCAUCAAUAUCCCCUGGCCUGCUCCUGCUUAAAUAAAACAUUCUGCCCCAGGUGAUAGGUAGGAAGCCAGUGGAAAGGUGCUGUCACUUGACGGGCUGUGACAUUUCAGAACACACUUUGAGAAACUCUCCAGUACUUCCAAAUAUCCAAACUAUAUUAUGUAAAUAUAUUUACACGGUAACUCUCAAAAUACAUCAAAAUACUUGUCCUUAACUAACAUAUACUUUACUUUAAGUCCAGAAUGUAUUUUUUUCUAUACAAUGUUCUAGUUCAGCCUUCUAAUAUUAGCACUGAAUGCAAGAAGUUUUUCUGUGAGAGCAAAUACCCACAUGAGUACCAGGGCUGCAGAUUGAAAAGGCAGUUCUGAAGCCUUAUUUCUUCCAUUCAGUGCUGAGUGUAUAGAGAGCCCCAAGCACCAGUUAACAUCACUUUUUCUUCGUUUUCUUGGGUCAGAUUCCUUGUGAGAGAACCUUGUGCAGCUCAUAAUGUGAAACAUCAAGGCUGUUUUUGGGAGUGAAUCAUGUAUGGGCCACACAUCUUUUUGGAACAGAAACUUCCAAUCAGUCAAUACUGGCUUAUUUCUGAGCUUUCUUGGGUGCCUGCAAGUCAGACAAGCAAGACAGAAGGAUUUCUCUAAGUAGAAAUAUUUUUUGCUACCAAAGUUUGUUCUUAAAGGAAGAUGAGUGGCCCCCAAUUUGUUAUUCCUGGAGGGUAACAGUGCGAUGACACUUGGGUGACACACAGCCAGCCCAGCUAUGUCAUGGAAUCAAAGAUUGGUUUGGGUUGGGAAGGACCUUAAAGCACAUCCAGUGCCACCCCUGCCAUGGCAGGGACCCCUCCCACUGUCCCAGGCUGCUCCCAGCCCCAGUGUCCAGCCUGGCCCUGGGCACUGCCAGAGAUCCAGGGGCAGCCCCAGCUGCUCUGGGCACCCUGUGCCAGGGCCUGCCCACCCUGCCAGGGAACAAUACCAUCCUGGUACCUGACCUGAAUUUAGUUUGAAGCCAUUCCCUGUGUCCUGUCCCUGCAGUUCCUGAGGAAUUGUCCCUCUCUGGGUUCCCUGCAGCCCCUCAGACCCUGGAAGAAGCUCUGAGCUCUCCACACAACCUCCUCCUGUCCAGGCUGAGCAGCCCCAGCUCUCCCAGCCUGGCUCCCAGGGAAGGUGCUCCAGUCCCCUCAGCAUCUCUGAGGCCCCACCUGGAUUUGCUCCGUCAGUUCUGUGUCCUUUCAGUGUCCCUCACCAUCACUGACAGGAGGAUGCUGUCCACACCAGUGCCUGGGAAGUCAUCACUCUUUCCUCCAUGGACUGAUAGCUGGAACAGCCCCAAAUUCCUGUGAAGGAGGAAGGGAGUGGCUGCUCCCUUUAAGUCCUACCAUGGUGCUCAGCAGGUCCAUUACUUGCAAAUAACUCCAGAUAUCCCACUCUCUGUUCCAAUUUAAAAAGCUAUGCCACAAAUUAUAGCUAUGCCACAAAAUCUCACUCUGGGUGGCCCUAUUCAGGGUGCAGGACUAAAACAAGAAACAAGAAAUAAAUCAGGGCUGCAAACAUGAGCAGCUCUGACUGCUCAAUGAAAAUGUACAGGCAGCUCCAGUCAGAUAAUUCACAGUAGCAGUUGGCAGCACUCUCCAUUUACUGCGUUUACGUGUGUCUAAUCCCUGGGCUGUCAGCAAAAUGCGCUUCAGCAGCAUCACUGGCUGCACAUUCAUGGCGGUAUUAGCAAGAGCCUGCUGCCUUGUUCCAAAGAUUUUUAAUUACAGCAGAACUCUCCUUCUGCCUUUUCCUGUGUGAAGGUCACCCAGGAGGGUAUUUUGGAUUGCUGGUCCAUUUUGGUGGUGGGAGCUCUCGGAGGUGUGAGUGGCACGUGUGGAAAUACAACAAUCCCAGCACAGCUGGAUGCUCCAGUUCAAAAUGCUUUCAGCAGGCUUCAGAAUUAGCUGCUUACGCACUGAGGGGUUUUUAUUUGAAUGUGUUGGGAGAUGCAGUGGAAAACACAAGCACUGAUGAAGAUUAAAUGGAAUGGAGCUGAGUCUGUGCAACAGCUCUGGAGGUACCAAAUCUUCUGGUUGCUGGUUCAUACUACCAGGGCAGUGAUUCCCCUCUGCUAGAGACUCCGAACUGCUCCAUGCAGAGCACUUAGAGGGUCACAGCCCUUCCUCUGCCCUGCUGCACACUCAUAUUCCUGUCCUUUCCCUGACAAACCAGCUCUCAUUCCUGUUCAAGGGCCCAGUGUCUCCCCUGUGCAAUUUGGAGGCAGAACAGAUCCUGGACACUCAAGUUUUGUCUCACAAGUGCUAGGGGGGGGCUCCUGGAUGCAGUUUAUCUUAAAAAAAGUCGAGGAAUUCUGGCGUAUAAGGAAGAGAGAGAUGGAUUUGUGAUACUUAAAAGGCAGAGAGUCCUUUGUCCCAACAAACCCAGAGGACACUUUGAGUGAAAGCAUUCCCCUCACUUUGGUUUCCCCUCCAGUUUGAGCCCUCCUGGGAGCUGUCAUUGACUGGGACAGCUCAGGAUUCAUUCCUGCAGCCCCUCAGGACCCCACAGCCAUCCCCAGCCUCCCCACCCUGCCCAUGGGAUGUCCCCAGCAGCACCCAGAAAUGCUUCCUGUCUCCUGCACCCUGAUGGACUGGGAAUGUGUCAGCCUUGGGAACCUGGCUCCUGGACACCACACAUCCUUCUGAAUCUGAGCGGUGGCACAGAGGAAAAGGGAGGAAAAUCACCAUUAUUGGGGAAUUUUAGGUGUUUAUUGUUGUUCCAUGUUCACUUAAAUGGGCUUGCCUUGGAGGGAUCUCUACAUCUUGAUUAUUCCCCUGCCAAAUUGAAUGGAAUUUUUCUUCAUUAAUAAAAAAUCACAAUGUUAGAAACUCAGAGAAAAGCUAGGGAAAUUAACCUUCUUUCAGAGAAGAGAAACAGUGUUGUAAUUUCUCAUAUUUCUAAAGGUAUUAUUAACAUGAAAAUAUAAUUUUUCUUUUUUUCUGAAAUAUUUUAACAGAUUUUUUUCCAAAAUAAACUUAAAUUAUUUCCUUUACCAAUACCCUUAACAAUUAUAGUCAAAAGGAAAACUGACUGUAUUUUGAGGUUGAAUUGAAAAUAGUUUUUGAAAAUGUAGCAGAAUUGUUUCCAUGAGGAUGUCAGUAGCUCUGUAGGAUAAUGGAGCAAUCAAAAGGGACCUACAAGGACCAGCAAACCUCUCUC